rnacentral:lncRNA from 1 species
CAACGUUAAAACCAAUGAUAUAUAAUCUAUUUGAGUGACCGGAGACCAUAACCUAGAGCCUAAUGAGCCAUUCCCUAUAUAUCAAACAAUGUGUCUCACUGACAUCUGAGCAGAGCUCAGAAUGAAUCAGCUCUGUUGGUCACUAACCGAUGUGCAGUUAACACUAGGCACGGUGGUGAAGACAAGUCUUAGAGAGGCCAUGAUCUCCCAAAGCUGCUUUUUGGGCUCAAGAAGCCAGCCAGUUAUUAAUACUUGACCACACAUAGCGGAUGCAAAUAACAAGGUUCCACAGGGCCCGAUGGCAGUAACAUAUCCAGCGGGACUUUGCCAACUAAGGUCCGUCUAGUCAAGGCUAUGGUUUUUCCUGUGGUCAUGUAUGGAUGUGAGAGUUGGACUGUGAAGAAAGCUGAGCGCCGGUGUUGGAGAAGACUCUUGAGAGUCCCUUGGACUGCAAGGAGAUCCAACCAGUCCAUUCUAAAGGAGAUCAGCCCUGGGAUUUCUUUGGAAGGAAUGAUGCUAAAGCUGAAACUCCAGUACUUUGGCCACCUCAUGCGAAGAGUUGACUCAUUGGAAAAGACUCUGAUGCUGGGAGGGAUUGGGGGCAGGUGGAGAAGGGGACGACCGAGGAUGAGAUGGCUGGAUGGCAUGACUGACUCGAUGGACAUGAGUCUGAGUGAACUCCGGGAGUUGGUGAUGGAUGGGGAGGCCUGGCGUGCUGCGAUUCAUGGGGUCAGAAAGAGUCGGACACGACUGAGCGACUGAACUGAACUGAACUGAAGCAUAAGGAGUUAGAUAAUAAGUUUGCAGGAGAAAACAGAGUUAGAAGGUUACAGAGCAGAAAUUCGAAAAAAUUCUUACACUGCAAGAAGUGAAUGAGGACUAACAGCAAUAAACAUCAGCAAGCUUUCAUUAAAAACUAGCUUCCAAACUAAUGGUACAAACUUUCCUUUAUCCAAAUAAUAACAUUAUGACCUGUGAAAAUUGAAUGCCCCACUUUGACCAUUUAAUUCUUAACCCAAAGACAGUGUGUUUACACACCCCAAAUUUCAUCUGUAAGGUGAAUGAAAAUGUGUUUUUUUACGUAUUCUUCUGUAAAUAUUCCAUACAUAAUACACAUAUUCAGACC